CCUACGGGAGGCAGCAGUGGGGAAUAUUGCACAAUGGGGGAAACCCUGAUGCAGCAACGCCGCGUGAGUGAAGAAGGCUUUCGGUAUGUAAAGCUCUAUCGGCAGGGAGGAAGGAAUACGGUACCUGACUAAAAAUCCCCGGCGAACUACGUGCCAGCAGCCGCGGUAAUACGUAGGGGGCCAGCGUUAGCCGGAUUGACUGGGCGUAAAGGGAUCGUAGACGGUUGUGUAAGUUGGGAGUGAAAGCCCGUGGCUCAACCGGGGAACUGCUUUUGAGACUGUGUAGCUUGAGUACUUGAGAGGAGGGUAGAAUUCCUAGUGUAGCGGUGAAAUGCGUAGAGAUGAGGAGGAACACCAGUGGCGAAGGCGGCCUGCUGGAAAGAUACUGACGUUGAGGCUCGAAAGCGUGGGGAGCAAACAGGAUUAGAUACCCUAGUAGUC
rnacentral:rRNA from 1 species